UACGGGGGGGGCAAGCGUUGUUCGGAAUUACUGGGCGUAAAGGGCUCGUAGGCGGCCAACUAAGUCGGAUGUGAAAUCCCCAAGCUUAACUUGGGAACUGCAUCCGAUACUGGAUGGCUUGAAUCCGGGAGAGGGAUGCAGAAUUCCAGGUGUAGCGGUGAAAUGCGUAGAUAUCGGGAGGAACACCGGUGGCGAAGGCGGGUCUCUGGACAGUUCCUGACGCUGAGGCACGAAGGCCAGGGGAGCAAACGGG
rnacentral:rRNA from 1 species